UAAGGAAUAUUGGUCAAUGGACGCAAGUCUGAACCAGCCAUGCCGCGUGGAGGAUGAAGGCCCUCUGGGUUGUAAACUUCUUUUAUAUGGGACGAAACCUAGGCAUUCUUGCCUAAUUGACGGUACCAUAGGAAUAAGCACCGGCUAACUCCGUGCCAGCAGCCGCGGUAAUACGGAGGGUGCAAGCGUUAUCCGGAUUCACUGGGUUUAAAGGGUGCGUAGGAGGGCAGGUAAGUCAGUGGUGAAAUCCUGGGGCUUAACCCCAGAACUGCCAUUGAUACUAUCUGUCUUGAAUAUUGUGGAGGUGAGCGGAAUAUGUCAUGUAGCGGUGAAAUGCUUAGAUAUGACAUAGAACACCAAUUGCGAAGGCAGCUUGCUACGCAUAUAUUGACUCUGAGGC
rnacentral:rRNA from 1 species